rnacentral:rRNA from 1 species
AGAGUUUGAUCCUGGCUCAGGACGAACGCUGGCGGCAGGCUUAACACAUGCAAGUCGAGCGCCCUGCUUGCAGGGAGCGGCAGACGGGUGAGUAACGCGUGGGAACGUGCCCUUCGGUUCGGAAUAGCCCCGGGAAACUGGGUGUAAUACCGAAUACGACCUCCGGGUGAAAGAUUUAUCGCCGAAGGAUCGGCCCGCGUUAGAUUAGCUUGAUGGUGGGGUAAAGGCCUACCAUGGCGACGAUCUAUAGCUGGUUUGAGAGGACGACCAGCCACACUGGGACUGAGACACGGCCCAGACUCCUACGGGAGGCAGCAGUGGGGAAUAUUGGACAAUGGGCGAAAGCCUGAUCCAGCCAUGCCGCGUGGAUGAAGAAGGCCCUAGGGUUGUAAAAUCCUUUCGCUAGGGAAGAUAAUGACGGUACCUAGUAAAGAAGCCCCGGCUAAUUUCGUGCCAGCAGCCGCGGUAAUACGAAAGGGGCUAGCGUUGUUCGGAAUUACUGGGCGUAAAGCGCACGUAGGCGGCAUUGUAAGUUAGAGGUGAAAUCCCGGAGCCCAACUCCGGAACUGCCUUUAAACUACAAAGCUAGAGGAUGUGAGAGGAGAGUGGAAUUCCGAGUGUAGAGGUGAAAUUCGUAGAUAUUCGGAAAACACCAGUGGCGAAGGCGACUCUCUGGCACAUUUCUGACGCUGAGGUGCGAAAGCGUGGGGAGCGAACAGGAUUA